AUGUUUUGGUGUCAUGGGUGGGAAGGAGUCUGCAGGUGGUGUUGGGGCCAGGUGUUGGCUGUGAAUUUCCCCUUCUCUUCAGGAACUGACCUCAGUGGCCUAAUGGAGUGUCACGUGCUUAUAGCUGGAAAUUCCAAACCAGUCCAUCAUGGGGGACACAUGAGAUGUAGGUGCCUGUCCCACUGGUGUAGUGCAGACUGCAACCCUCCAGGCAGGUGGGAGCCCUGCCCUCCCCUGCCGCCCUCUCCAGCAGCAUCAGCUGACAGCCCUGCGCUCUCUGACCCCCUUACCCUUCCCAGUUUGUCCCCCUGGCCGUUCAGCCUCGGCACCGCAUGUUUCCCUGGCCCUCUUCUCCCACUGGAGAACUGUUACUCAAAUUUCAAGAGCCAGCGUGGAGUCACCUCUUCUCAUGAAGAGGGUUCGUCCCUCCUGCCCUUGUGUGGCAAAAGUGCUCCAUUCACGACCUGUGAGAGCACCUGCUCCGUGGUACCAGAAUACGGUACCUCUGUCAUCUCUGCCAGUCCUCACCAGAUAGGUACUGUGUGAUCCUCAUGUUGAAGAUGAGGAAAGUGGAGGACGCAGCCGGGGGCUAGCUUUCUUGGCGUAUUCAUGCAUUUAUUCACUCACGUAGCACGUACAUACUUUACUUCUGCGUUGGGCCCGGCCCUGGGAGCGUACCAAGACGGACCAAGACGGACAGGUCCUUGGGAAGCUUACGUUUUGCUGAGGAAGAAAGACAAAGUGAGCAAGGAGACAAGACGUGUCGACUGUGAUACGUGCUGUCAGGUUGAUGAGAGGGGCUGACGUUGGGCGUCCCUGGGGAGGGAGGGGCAGGAAGGUGACUGGUGUGUCCCAGGUACAGAGAGGAGGGUGUGUCAGGAAUACAGAGGGAGAGGCGAAUGGAGCAAGGUGUGGAGGCAGGUGGGGGCUAGGUCCUGCCCGGGUCAGCCGUCCAGGUGAUGAGGACACAGUGAUCCAGCUCCCUCGUCCACAGGCCAGCACCUCCUCACUCGGGAAGGACUCUGGAUUUUGCUCUGUGUCCUGGGAAGGGAGGUCCUGGAAGUGUUUUAAGCAAGGGAAUAAGUCUUUCUGAUCUGAUCUUUAGAAGACAGCCUUGGGGCUGCCGUGGACUACAGAGAAGCACAUGUGAUUGUCUGCUUCUGAGUCUUUCCUCCUAGACUCAACUUCUGUGGGUGGAGACUGUGAAUUUCCUGGUCUGUUACUUUCUGUAGACCAAACACCACGUCUGGCGCCUAGCGUGCUCAGGACACGUGAUGAAUGAGUACCUGUGCACAGGGCAUGGGAUCCCUGGGAGGUGAGUAGGGGUCCCUGAGUCCUCUGGGAUGGAGCCCCUUGCCCUCCUGACACGAUCAUCGAGGCAGGCAGCGUCAUCAAGAUGGGGUGUGGAAACAGAUCACCUGUGUCAUGGAGUCUGAUGAUGACCAAACAGCCUGUGUCCCAGUGGCCACCAAUGAACGUCCAUAGAGUGGGGUGAUCUUCUAAUGAAGGAGUUAGAGGUACGUGUGCACGAGUGUGCCUGCGUGUGCACGGGCUCUGCCCUUCCAGGACUGAAGCUGCGGGGUGGAGCCGGGGGCCGCCAAGCGGUGGCCUGACUCAGCACGCUGUGUGCAUUUGUGCAUUCUGUGCUCCCUCUCCCUGACUGCAGAGUUCAGAGGACAGUGGGCAGGGUGGUGACGGGCUGGAGGUCGGAGGGCUAGCGUCUCUUGUGAGCAGGAGUGGUGACAGCAGGGAGCUCUGACAGCCACAGGCUCGGGCUGACCUGGCUUCUUACAAGUUGUGUGAUCUUGGGCAAAUGACUUACUUUCUUGAAACCUUCAUAAGCCCAUUUGUGGAAUGGAAACAAAAUGGCUUUGACUUGAGGUCCUUGGUGGGAGGAAGAAAGGUGGUAGUAUAUAUGAAAGGGCAUCUGCACUCCCAAGUCAGGGAGCGCUCAGAGAGUGUUACUUAGGGGUACAAGUGCUUCCCGGACUGCUCUUCCACCCCUACCGCACACACACACUUUAGAGAACAAAAAACAAUCAGUCAAGGAGGACGCCUCAAGGCUGAGCAGGGUCCCAGGGCCCCAGGGAAGGGUCUCAAGAGGCAGGACAGGACAAAUGGCGGGCUAAGCCACUCUGAAUAGGAAACUGUCCGGAAUUCGGGUUUUGUUUACUUCCUAAGAAAGGGCGGGGAGAGGUGGUCACAUGCCUUCGUGGAAGGCUGGAAAGCUGGAGUCCAGUUAGUGGAAAUAGCUACGGGUCUUUUUAAUCUCAUGGAUGUCUAAUACUCAACUAAGUUUUUGUGUUUUUACUAUGAAAACCUCCUUUCUCUCUCCAAAUCCUCAGUAAAGUUGGCUAUGUACACCAAGGCCUUUGUGCGAGUGAUUUCUUUUUACGGAAACGAAAGUCUCAUCUGUUGGUCAAGCAACAAAAGCAGCAGCAGCAGCAGCAGCAGAGUGGAGCCUAGAGGCACCCUAACUGAACCAAGCCCGGAAGCAGGAGCUCAGACACACAUUCGUUAGAGAUGGCUCCUUUUUGUAACCACGAGUCCCAUGCCAUCACGUUGAAAAGUUCCAGUGCGUGUGGAUAUUCGCUCAGUUGGCAUUCCUCAGACUACUGAGCACCUAACUCAUAUUAGCUGCUGUGCUACACUCACUCUUACUCGUCUGGGGUUCAGAGAGGGAGAUACCUUCUAAAAAUUCCCUUUAUGGGCUGGCCCGGUGACUCAGGCGGUUGGAGCUCUGUGCUCCUAACUCCGAAGGCUGCCAGUUCAAUUCCCA